rnacentral:rRNA from 1 species
GCCAGACUCCUACGGGAGGCAGCAGUGGGGGAUAUUGCACAAUGGGGGGAACCCUGAUGCAGCGACGCCGCGUGGGUGAAGGAGCGUUUCGGCGCGUAAAGCCCUAUCGGCAGGGAAGAAGGAGGACGGUACCUGACUAAGAAGCCCCGGCUAACUACGUGCCAGCAGCCGCGGUAAUACGUAGGGGGCAAGCGUUAUCCGGAUUUACUGGGUGUAAAGGGGGCGCAGACGGCAGCGCAAGCCAGGAGUGAAAGCCCGGGGCCCAACCCCGGGACUGCUCUUGGAACUGCGCGGCUGGAGUGCAGGAGGGGCAGGCGGAAUUCCUGGUGUAGCGGUGAAAUGCGUAGAUAUUAGGAGGAACACCAGUGGCGAAGGCGGCCUGCUGGACGACAACUGACGGUGAGGCGCGAAAGCGUGGGGAGCAAACAGGAUUAGAUACCCGAGUACAA